rnacentral:rRNA from 1 species
UACGUAGGGGGCAAGCGUUGUCCGGAAUUAUUGGGCGUAAGGAGCGUGUAGGCGGUCCGGUAAGUCAGCUGUGAAAGUCAAGGGCUCAACCCUUGAAAGCCGGUUGAUACUGUCGGGCUAGAGUCCGGAAGAGGCGAGUGGAAUUCCCGGUGUAGCGGUGAAAUGCGCAGAUAUCGGGAGGAACACCGAUGGCGAAGGCAGGUCUCUGGGCCACUACUGACGCUGAGAAGCGAAAGCAUGGGGAGCGAACAGG